CAUUCCAGAUCAAGUCCUGUAAUGGAGAAGAAAGAGUGACAUGGGGCCUUAUCCCACACAAAACCUCCUGGGAUGGAGGCAAAGCCAGGAACGGCUAUCCAGACACCCAGUAUCUCUCUGAGGUUUGCGUAGUACUGAAGAGACUGGGCAUCGCAUGAGACUCCCUGCCUGAGCAGCCACAGCCCGUGCCUUCGCUUCACCUUCCUUUCCAGCUGACAAAGCUGCAGCUUAACACAGACAGCUCAGGAAAAAGCAGGUGUUUGUCCAAGGAGCUCCUGUGUCCCCAGAGGUAGCCAGAAAUCUGCACGUUAGUGACAGCAGCACCUCCAUCCUCGCCCCCCACAGCAAGCCUCAGCAUGGAUCGGAGCUUCCCUGAAACUCCAGCUCCUCCUGGACGGGUGUCCUCACCAGCCAGUUACACAGCUUGUUUCAACACCAGCUCCAUGCCAGGCUGAGCCCUGGCAUGGCUUUCAGCAGCAUAACCCAAACCUGGGCAGGAGCCUGCGUGUAGUCCAGCCCCCAUCUUCUGGAAGUCUCUUCCACCUUCAGCCACUACAGGCAGGUUCCAGCUCAGCCACCGCCAGAGCCUGUGCCAGAGCUGAGCUGUCAUUAAUUUCAGCUGUUCACUCAGACAUUUCAGUCCUCAAGCAGACAGCCCCGAGCUACAGCCCCUCCCCAGCACCUGCUCUGGAGCCAGCAGGCAACCUGAUGCUCUCUUGGGGAGAGCAUUAACAGCUUGCGGUGCCCAGGACAGCUGCCUCCCAUGAGACUAUACAGCCAUGGGCAGUAUAAUAAACAAGAUUUAUUCCCGCA